AACAAAUGUUCUCUCUCUAGCGAAGAACCAGGAAAGAAAGACCGGUAGAGAAAGGAAGCCUCACGAAGGGUAGCUCUGUAACAAGAAAAAAGAAAAUUAACCCAAAAAACAACAGAUAGACAACAGUCGCUGGAUGUUUCUUCUCUUUUCACUUUUGCGUUUUGUAGUGUUGGGGGAUGUGGGUUCAUCACUAAUGCUUCUUUUCUAUUGGUUUUGUAAGACAGAAGAUUAUUGCUGAUGAGCAGAGGGGGAGAAAAAGAAAAGGCUUAAAACUUGAUCUUAUCUGAUCUCCAUUUUGGGUUUUGAUUGUUUUGUUGGAGGAGAAAAUGGUUGGGUAUAUUAAGAAGGAGAUGAUUGAAGAUUUAGCCAUUGUAGGAGGUUUGAUAGGGGUGCAAUUUGUGUAUGCAGGAAACUCUGUUUUCUUGAGCUAUCUAAUGUCUCUGGGCUUUACCCCUUCUACCAUUGUUAUCUUUUCUACUUUUGCCACCUUCCUCAUCACCUCUCCUCUUGCUGUUCAUUUUGAAAGGAGGAAAUGGCCCAAAGAACUCAGUAUCAAGUUGAUGAUCCAGCUCGUUUUGAUCUCUUUUGCAGGGGUA
rnacentral:misc_RNA from 1 species